rnacentral:rRNA from 1 species
ACGCACGCUGGCGGCGUGCUUAACACAUGCCAGUCGAACGGAAAGGCCCUGCUUUUGUGGGGUGCUCGAGUGGCGAACGGGUGAGUAACACGUGAGUAACCUGCCCUUGACUUUGGGAUAACUUCAGGAAACUGGGGCUAAUACCGGAUAGGAGCUCCUGCUGCAUGGUGGGGUUGGAAAGUUUCGGCGGUUGGGGAUGGACUCGCGGCUUAUCAGCUUGUUGGUGGGGUAGUGGCUUACCAAGGCUUUGACGGGUAGCCGGCCUGAGAGGGUGACCGGCCACAUUGGGACUGAGAUACGGCCCAGACUCCUACGGGAGGCAGCAGUGGGGAAUAUUGCACAAUGGGCGGAAGCCUGAUGCAGCAACGCCGCGUGCGGGAUGACGGCCUUCGGGUUGUAAACCGCUUUCGCCUGUGACGAAGCGUGAGUGACGGUAAUGGGUAAAGAAGCACCGGCUAACUACGUG